CUCCGCGUGCAGAUUCUACCCACCCUUCCACAAACGCCGCCAGGAUAAUGGCUCCACAGCCCCGUACACCUCCGACUGUUCCUGACGAUCUUGGAACAGAAGAGCCAGGCCAAGUUAGCCUAGAAUCCUACCCUAGCCACAGAUUUUCUGUCCCAAGAAGUUAAUUUAAUAGCAACUGUUUCAGAGGAAGAGAGUGGCUGGAAUACUCGAUUACUGCCGAUGCUGCAUUUUGUUUCCCAUGUCGAAAGGUCUGUGUUGGGUCCAAUGCUAACACAGACAAUGCCUUCACCCAAGAUGGGUAUUCUAACUGGAAGCAAGUUAUUUAUAGUACCAAAGGAUUCACUAGGCACGCAUCAAGCAAAGAGCUUGAGUUUGAAGUGCUAUGGGAACAUCGGUGUCAACACUUGCAAAUUAAAAUAAAAAAAAUGGUAUACCUUUAUUUAACUAGGCAAGUCAGUUAAGAACAAAUUCUUAUUUUCAAUGACGGCCUAGGAACAGUGGGUUAACUGCCUUGUUCAGGGGCAGAACGAAAUAUUUUGUACCUUGUCAGCUCGGGGAUUUGAUCUUGCAACCUUUGGGUUACUAGUCCACUAGGCUACGCCGCCCCUAAUGAUGGGCAGCUGGCAAGAAAUCACAUAUAUUUGUCAGCGAUUGUGGACAUUAGCGUUCCUUGUUUCAAACCAGCAACCACUGAAGGGGACAUUGGACGCGAUAGAGUCAAGAGUGGAGGGGGGCAAUGGGUUUUUUUUCUGUCAAAGAUGGAAUAUACUCUCCGAAAAGAUAAGGAACUUGCCAAGGUGUUUAGCACCAUACCCCACAGUGCCACAUACACGUCAUAUAAUAUUCAAAAUUAAAUCAUAGGGCUCAUGAGUGGGAUGUUGACAGCUACAUGCGAGAACUCACAUUUGAAAAAACGUGUUCAGUCAGCAGAAGAAGCAUGCUACACUUGAGGAAAGCUCAACUAAUCCAAAUGACACGUGCGUUGGAUCUUACAAGAAGAUUUCAGGGAGAAUGUAAUGAUCGAUUACUCAGGAAGUUCCACAGAGCAUCAAGGAGGCCGCAACUCUUCUGAAUAGGUCUGGAACAGCACCAUCCUGAUCUCAGCACCCUUCACCGCGUUCUUUACUGCCCUGACUGCCAAGAUGCUCAUCAAACCCCAGUGGCCACCCCACUCACUGCAGCCAACCUGGCCCCCAGCCCCGCUCACCCCAUUACCCACAACCUCCCACCACACCCAAGGCUCCAGGAACUCCACCGCCCGGUCCACCCCAUCUGCAGCACCCACCCCCAGCCCGAUCAGAAGCCCCAAGAAGGGGGCUCGGAGCAGUGAUGCGAUCCAGACACGACCUCUGCUAGACCCAGACAGGACCUCUGCUAUCCAGACCAAUGAGACGGCUGCUACUCCUCUAAGUAGCCCGACGGCGGCCCCUCUGGCUGUGGCUCUCAACACCAGUUCCACAAAGAGGUGGUAGUCCAGCUGUCUUGUUGGU
rnacentral:lncRNA from 1 species